rnacentral:pre_miRNA from 1 species
GGUGAGAGGAAUGGUUGUCUGGCUCGAGGGCCAUUGAGGGGUGCCGAUCAGUUAUUCAAUUGAUUAAUUGAAGCCCAAACCCUAAAUGACUCUCGGACCAGGCUUCGUUCCUCCCACC